ensembl:miRNA predicted gene, 27646
AGCGCCCAGGCCGGGUCGUAAGCCCCGGAGCACAGCCUCGGCCGGUCGGGCUCCCCCUCCCGGACCGCUACCGCUUCUUCCGCCAGUCGGUGGCUGGGCUGGCGGCGCGG